GACGAACGCUGGCGGCGUGCCUAAUACAUGCAAGUCGAACGAAGCUGUUUUAACUGGUGCUUGCACCGACUUAAACAACUGAGUGGCGAACGGGUGAGUAACACGUGGGUAACCUGCCCCAAAGCGGGGGAUAACAUUUGGAAACGGAUGCUAAUACCGCAUAACCACAGAAACCACAUGGUUUCUGUGUCAAAGAUGGUUUCGGCUAUCACUUUGGGAUGGACCCGCGGCGUAUUAGCUAGUUGGUAAGGUAAUGGCUUACCAAGGCAAUGAUACGUAGCCGAACUGAGAGGUUGGUCGGCCACAUUGGGACUGAGACACGGCCCAAACUCCGACGGGAGGCAGCAGUAGGGAAUCUUCCACAAUGGACGAAAGUCUGAUGGAGCAACGCCGCGUGAGUGAAGAAGGUUUUCGGAUCGUAAAACUCUGUUGUCAGAGAAGAACGUGUGCGAGAGUAACUGUUCGUGCAGUGACGGUAUCUGGCCAGAAAGCCACGGCUAACUACGUGCCAGCCGCCGCGGUAA
rnacentral:rRNA from 1 species